UUGCUUUGGUGGCACAUUUACGAAAACUGGAAUGAUUCAGAGAUUAACAUAGCCUCUGCAGAAGGAUGUCACACAAAUUUGUGAAAUGUUCCAUACUUUC
rnacentral:snRNA from 1 species